rnacentral:ncRNA from 22 species
AACUUAUUGUGGUCAUAUUGUGGUAACAGCAAUAUGAAUGGACAAGGGAACCAGGUGCGAAUCCUGGACGGUACCGCCGCUGUAUGCGCCGAGCCUGUAAUUCGUUGGCGAAAGCCAGUCAUUGGGAAACCGAGAAGGCAGAAUGCAGGCGCUGAGACUUCAAGCAAGUGUCGUAAGCGCGAGUCAGAAGACCUACAAGAAGAGGGAUUGCUGAU